rnacentral:rRNA from 1 species
AUGGCCGCCGGAGACGAUGCCGGGAGCGACUCCGGCGGCGACGGCGGGGGGCCAGGCCAGGUCGCCCUCGAGGAGACGACUCAACAUCUGAAAAGAGCAUUGCCUGCCCCCACCUUUACCAUGGCUUGCAUUCCUGAUGGAACCUUCUUUGGCCUUCGUGGAGAAGGGGUGAAAGAGUUCUUCAAGCUCCCCAUCAGUGCCAACUAUUGCAUGUCCUGCAGUGACUGGCUUCUCUUCUCACACAAUGGCACCUGUUUCCUGAUGGAUCCCUUCUCCAAGGUCACCUUGACGCUUCCUAACCUAUCUUCCUUCUGUCUUGUGGACGAGCCUGUUGGAAUUAUUAAUGGCCGUGAUGUCCUGGAUGAAGAUAUGGUUGGUCCUCUGCAACACAUGGAUACUGCGGUAUCUCUGCACAAGGUGAUCAGGUGCUCGGAACUCCUUGUUGCGGCCAUCAUUGACAUUGGGCCUCUUCGCACUGUUGCAUACUGCCAACCGGGUUCAACCUCAUGGCUGGUGAGUGGACUUGGCAGCAAAGUGUUUGUCAUGGACAUCACGUGCUAUGAAGGUGGCGGCACUUAUGUUCAUCCGUACCUAGUUGAAUCUCAUGGUGCACUACUGUGGGUAAGGAGAUUAAUAUAUGGUAUAUGGGAUAAUGACACGAUUGGUGGUACCAAGCCAGUAGGGAUUGAACUCGAGGUGUUUCAGUCAGACUUCCAGUCUCGAAGUUGGGUAAAGGUGAGCAGUAUUGGGGAUGAUCAGGCGUUGUUCGUCAGCCAAAGUUUAUCCCGAUCUGUUGACGUGUCUCAGUACAACCUGAAGGGGGAUUCCAUCUACUUCCUGGAUGAUGGCAGCUGUGACUGGUUCUGGAAGGAUGCGCCAAGUUCUUGUGCCGUAUAUGACAUGCGAGAUGGAAAUUGUUUCUUCAUAUCACUGCCGACAGUAGCAUGCAAGGACGUCAAAAUGCUGAGAUAG